rfam:Arthrobacter sp. P2b genome assembly, contig: Ga0157235_108
GGGGAUGAUCGGUUUCGACGAUGUUAGUCGCGACAGGUGAAGCGGGCCGAGGAUGCAGAAUUAUCUCGUUAACGCUGUCUGCAAAAAAAUAAUCGCCGAAUCAAAACGCGAUAACUUCGCUCUCGCUGCCUAAGCAGCCUUAGCAAGUUCGUCAGCCCGGGGUUGCUAUCGCCCCGGAUGCUGGCGUCAUUUAGAUAGCCACUGCUGCUUACCCUCGUCAUCGGGGUGAGUGGGACUCUUUGAUGACUGGGCCCGGAUCAGCCAGCUGUUUGCAGCAUGGCUGGGGCCGAGAAAAUCCGACGCAAACUGCGCCCGGAGAAGCCCUGACAACACGACAUCGGACGGGGGUUCAAUUCCCCCCAUCUCCACCC